CUCCUCCCUGUUUUUGACAUAUGCACACUCAAAAAAAUGAACUUAGGGGGUUAUUAGAUUAAUAAAAGAAUAUCAUGUACUUUUAACACAAUAAUUUCAUGUUUUAAACAAAAACGUGAUAAAAUCAUGUUGAACAAACAAGAAAUUCAUCAACUUAACGUUUAUGAAAUUGAAUCAUGUU